GAAAGGUUGGAAACCAAUAGGGAUAAACAAACAAACAACAAAAUAAACCACCCUGCAGAUUUUCAACUUUCAGUGUCAUUUCAAAUUUCAGGAAAUAAAUGUGGAAAACAGACUGAUGACAGCUUUGUGACAUCCACCCCUCUGCCUCCGAGUGCCUUUUAUCCAACAGGAAAACAAAGCAUGCAGUUAAGGAAGACUGGAAAAAUUAAGCCUGAAUCUCUCAUUGACCUGAAACCCACCCUCGAGGGGCAACCAGCAGCUUCCACACCAGCCUUUCACUAUUCAUUGUCCUUCCUAAUGAGAACAACAUUAGACUUCUACCUCAACACGACUGAAAUGAUUUCAUGGUAGAAAAUGAUCGUCUCUAUACUUCAGAAGCACUGGUGGUGUUUGCUAUUCAAAUUAGAAUCCUUCCAUACUAACUGUUUUAUUAUCACCAUUAUUAUUUCUGUAUGCUGCGGAAAAGAAGAGAAUCAUUAUUUUCCAUCAGUUCAUUUAGCAGCGGUUGAAAGUUUCUUCUAGUAAACACAAGGAUCAGUCUCUGCUCUGAAGAAUCAAGUAACUACAAAAACGCAGUGGCAUCUUUUAUGCAAAGCAUCACCCCUAUGCCUUUACUCACUGUGCUUUUCCUUAAAUGACUGUAAUGAGACUGUUAAGCAUUCCAGCCUUGUGACUAAUCCCUGCAGGUUUCACCGAUGACAAUAAUAUCAAAUUUCUUCUCAUCAAUGGGAAUUUCCAUUUCCAGCUUGCUUGUUACCCCGGAGUCUAGAACUGCUGUAUAAGAAACAGUUAUAGGAAAAUAGGAAACCCUCUUUUUUCUUCACAACUUUAGCACAGCAGCUCAAUUUGUUUGCAACGUGCUGAUUUUGAGUUCAGUUUGCAUUUGCCUUCUUAGCACCUUCCCUUUGUGUCAUUAGUCAAGCAACCGCCUGGCUGUUCCAGCUUGUUUCUGACAGAACGGAGUAGGUUUGAGAUGGAGGCCAUUCUGCUCACAUGUGAUUGCAUAUAUAUAUAAAAGACUGAAAGCAGCAUUAUGAAACCUCCAGCAACUCAGCUACACACUGCAGCCAC
ensembl:lncRNA